GGAAAUCUCACCAGCCCCACACAUAAAGAGGAUUGACAGUUUGAUAGUUCUUUCUUGAUUCUAUGGUUGGUGGUGCAUGGCCGUUCUUAGUUGGUGGAGUGAUCUGUCUGGUUAAUUCCGUUAACGAACGAGACCUUAACCUGCUAAAUAGCGCCGAGUUACUUUGGUAACGAAGGUGUCUUCUUAGAGGGACGUCACGUGUCUAACGUGAGGAGGUGUGAGGCAAUAA
rnacentral:rRNA from 1 species